rnacentral:rRNA from 1 species
UACAGAGGUGGCAAGCGUUGUUCGGAAUUACUGGGCGUAAAGGGCGCGUAGGCGGUCUUGCAAGUCCUGUGUGAAAUCCCCCGGCUCAACUGGGGAACUGCACAGGAAACUGCCUGGCUCGAGUUCGGGAGAGGGAAGCGGAAUUCCGGGUGUAGCGGUGAAAUGCGUAGAUAUCCGGAGGAACACCGGUGGCGAAGGCGGCUUCCUGGACCGACACUGACGCUGAGGCGCGAAAGCUAGGGGAGCAAACGGG